rnacentral:RNase_P_RNA from 1 species
AUAGUAGGCCGCCUUAUCGCUGGUAGCAAUAUCAGAGGAAAGUCUGGGCACCAUAGAGUAAGCUUAGCGGGUAACGCCCGUCCGCCGUGAGGUGAGGACAAGUGCAACAGAAAGGAUGUACAGGUAAUGCUGUAGUGAAAUCAGGUAAACUCUUUGCGGUGAAAUGCCAUGUAAACUAACGUUUGAGGGCUACUCGCUUGAUGUUAGAGGGUAGGCAGAUGGAACUUUUGAGUAAUUAAAAGUCUAGAUAAAUGAUAAGGAAAAGCACUUCAAAAGAAGUGCUUUUACAGAACCCGGCUUAUAGGCCUACUAUUUUA